GGGUCAGUAGGUUGGUCGUGCCACCGGUACGUACUGGUCUCACUGAUUCCUCCUUCCUGAAGAACCGUAAUGCCAUUAAUUUGGUGUGGCGGGGAAACAGGACUGUUACUUUGAAAAAAUUAGAGUGUUUAAAGCAGGCUAACGCUUGAAUACAUUAGCAUGGAAUAAUGAAAUAGGACGAUCGAUCCUAUUUUGUUGGUUUCUAGGAUUGACGUA
rnacentral:rRNA from 1 species